GUUCAUGCUUGAAAUCGUAUGUGACAUCAAGAAUAACAAAUGAAAGCCAAAUGAGGACUCUGCACAUCACACUCGGAUUAAGAAGUGGUUACAAAAGUUAAGAGUUGAUGACAUUUUGAUUAGAGGGUUUAAAUGGAGCAAGUUACUUGAUCCUGACAAGAAGGGCCAAUGGUGGUUGUCUGGGGAUGUGGCUUCUUCAACAGGUAAUGUUGAAGAAGUUGCCAACAGAAUAGACAAGGAUGUUCAUGAAACCCAAAGAAUGCUUCAGCUCGCCGCUGCUCAAAAGAUGAACACAGAUGCCCGAAGGGAAAUCUUUUGUAUAAUAAUGAGUGGGGAGGACUAUCUUGAUGCAUUUGAGAAGCUUCUAAGAUUGGAGUUACCAGGCAAGCAGGACAGAGAUAUCAUGUGGGUUCUUGUGGAGUGUUGCUUGCAAGAGAAAGUUUUUAACAAGUA